rnacentral:rRNA from 1 species
GAUGAACGCUGGCGGCGUGCCUAACACAUGCAAGUCGAGCGAACCCUUCGGGGUGAGCGGCGGACGGGUGAGUAACGCGUGGGUAACCUGCCCUGUACACACGGAUAACAUACCGAAAGGUAUGCUAAUACGAGAUAAUAUAUUUUAAUCGCAUGGUUAAGAUAUCAAAGCUCCGGCGGUACAGGAUGGACCCGCGUCUGAUUAGCUAGUUGGUGAGGUAAUGGCUCACCAAGGCGACGAUCAGUAGCCGACCUGAGAGGGUGAUCGGCCACACUGGAACUGAGACACGGUCCAGACUCCUACGGGAGGCAGCAGUGGGGAAUAUUGCACAAUGGGCGAAAGCCUGAUGCAGCAACGCCGCGUGAGCGAUGAAGGCCUUCGGGUCGUAAGCUCUGUCCUCAAGGAAGAUAAUGACGGUACUUGAGGAGGAAGCCCCGGCUAACUAC